UACAGAGGUGGCAAGCGUUGUCCGGAAUCAUUGGGCGUAAAGCGCGUGUAGGCGGCCAGAAAAGUCCGCUGUGAAAACUCGAGGCUCAACUUCGAGCUGUCGGUGGAAACUUUCUGGCUAGAGUCCGGAAGAGGAGAAUGGAAUUCCUGGUGUAGCGGUGAAAUGCGCAGAUAUCAGGAAGAACACCCGUGGCGAAGGCGGUUCUCUGGGACGGUACUGACGCUGAGACGCGAAAGCGUGGGGAGCGAACAGG
rnacentral:rRNA from 1 species